rnacentral:piRNA from 1 species
CCUUGAGGUAUUGAGCUGGGCUGGAC